AUUGAACGCUGGCGGCAGGCCUAACACAUGCAAGUCGAGCGAGCGGCGGACGGGUGAGUAAUGUCUGGGAAACUGCCGGUUGAGGGGGGAUACCUACGGGAAAGGUUAACAAUAACCGCAUACCACCAAAGGUGCCCAGAGGGGUUUAGCUAGUAGGUGGGGUAACGGCCCACCGAGGCGCCGCUCCCUAGCUGGUCUGGGAGGAGGACCAGCCACUCUGGAACUGAGACACGGUCCAGACUCCUACGGGAGGCAGCAGUGGGGAAUAUUGCACAAUGGGCGCAAGCCUGAUGCAGCCAUGCCGCGUGUGUGAAGAAGGCCUUCGGGUUGUAAAGCACUUUCAGCGGGGAGGCGUUACCCGCAGAAGAAGCACCGGCUAACUCCGUGCCAGCAGCCGCGGUAAUUC
rnacentral:rRNA from 1 species